UGUGCUUCACUCUUCGGUUCUGGAACCAGAUCUUCACCUGCUUCUCCGACAGGUUCAAGUACGUAGCAAUCUCGAUUCGUCUAAGUCUCGAAAGGUACAUGUUUGUGGAAAACUCCCUUUCCAGUUCUAAAAGUUGCGUGCUGGUGAAAGCGGUGCGCAUUCGCUUGCCGUUCUGGAUGUGAGCGCUCUCAGACGCGCCUGUUGGAGGAGGACACGCAAGUUGAGCCAAGUCUGAAGAUGAGGAACAGCAAGUCCGACUAGGGACUGGUGAAGGAGGUGUGUGCCCGGGGUGAGCAAGUGCCGCAGAUUGGUGCGCUAUCCUCGGACAGUAUUGCGCGUCGGCUCCAGGGAACUGGCCUUUCAAGAUUGGAAUGCCGCUGCGGGAUGAGUGGAUGUGGGACGUGACGCACAAGGGGCAGACGCAGAACGUCCCGCUCUUCCUGGACGGACACACCGGUGCCGUGACCGUCAUAACGCUGGGCCUCACAGGAUCCCUCAGUUGGAAGUGGUGGAUGUGGCCCGGGAGAAGGGCGUUUGCCGUGUCCUUCUGAAGCUGCUGCCCCCACGACCCGGCAACUGAUAAGCGGAUGAGGAUGCGUGGAAUUGUCACGAUGCUGAAACUCAUCACAGACUGUUAGUGUCUCUGGAGCAGCCUUUUUCACAGAGACUUGCUGACGAAAAACAAACCUCUUUCCUCUGAUGUGAUUAUUGCAAAAUAUCCAGAGAGGAUGUUUGUUGUCUGUCUGGACGCAACUUCAGUCAGCUCAUUUACUCGAUCAGCAGCGCUGCUAUCAUGUUGUGCCUCUCUGCCGACUGCAUAAACAGCUCUGAACCGGACUUUCAUAAUUCCUAACGCUCUUCCCAACUACAUCACAAUGGAGCCACGUCUCAAGCUUUACUUGAAAUUGCUUUGAAUUAGUCACUGCGUACUCAAAUUGUAAUUCAUACUUCUGGUUUCAUUCUAGGAGUUUUGAUGGCAUUACACGGCUUUAACCAUUUCAUGAGAAAUUCACAAAGUGUUUAAAGCUCAUUUGGGCUCAUUGGUCAACACAACAGGAGAAUUGUUGGCAGGCAUUUUGGGACAUCACAUGAGCCUGCUGCAGUGUGGUGGGCAACACUGGGCCUUGUUCAACUUUGAUUUCUGAGGAACUAAAAAAAUGGAACUAAAGAAAGCAAAAGCCUUUAAUAGUAACUUUACAGUAAGUGAUGGGUGAGUAUGUGUUUCAGAAUUUCAGACUCUGUGAAGCAGAUUUUGGCCUUGCAGAAACA